rnacentral:lncRNA from 1 species
CAGGGGAAUGGGUCAACCGAAAAGACAUGACUAAUAACUCAUAAUGACCUUAUCAAGUCCGAAAAGUUGUAUUCAGAAUAUCCAAAGCUCUAAUCCUCAAUUGGUGAUAACCGAACCUUAAAUCAAUCUUCAAAAACACUACAACACCCAAAGCUGAUCAAAUAAAUCAUCAACGCGAGAAAGAGGAUACUUAUUCUUAACCCAUCACCUUAUUCAACUGCAGAUAAUCAAUACACAUCCGC